GGCCUAAGGUCUAAUGUGCCUAAUCUUUCUUUCUCAAUCCUUAACUUUGCUUAUUCUUUGAAAAGUUUCCAUCUUGAGGUGUGGUUGAGAGUUAAAAUGCUUCAUGAGACUGCUUGAGGACGCAGGGUAUGCAGAUUGGCCAGUUCUUUUUAAACCAAGAAAUCCAGUGUUUCCAAAUCCCAACACCGACUGGAUAGAUCAUGGACCUGCUCCUCUACCCAUUUCCACUCAAAUAUGAGACCUCGUUCACUAGUCAGGAUGUACGGUUACUACACAUUCCUCAUUGUACUACCUUUGCUAGUGAAGCAAAGCCCUGAUAUACAAAUUGGCCAGAUCUUUUUUCCAUUUUUUUGAGUAUUUAUUACAUUAUAAUUUACCGGGAAGUUUUCUGACCUUUCUCUCAUGCGUAAAACUUUUCUUUUUUUCAAUUUGUUGGUCUUUUAGACUUCUGUUUUGUUCUGUCUUAUGAUGCAUCACUUACUGUUUUCCUCCUUUUUGACUGUAAUGAGGAUGUAGCCAAAUUAUACCCAAAUUGGUGUUGGAAGACUUAUCAAGCUUAAUUCUGUUGUGACUGAAUGGUUUUUAUUUUGGGAUACAUAAGUUGUGAAAAAAUGCUAUGCUCUUGAGAUUUUUAAAUCUGCUUAUAUCUGUCAAAGGCAUCUUACAUUAUUUUAUGCCCUUCCACCUUCACUCACAUUAGGUUAUGCCCUUCUCUGUUAAUGGAUUCCCUUGGGCCACAAAUUUGAUUUAAUGAGAGAAAUGACAUAUUUAAGUUAAGCUCCAACUGGAUUAUCACAUCUUUGAUAAAUUAGAUAGAAGGAAAUAGCUCGUGCUUCUGUGUUAGCGCCUUAGCGUUACUGGAUAGGUUUGAUGUAUGCUUCCCUCCUAUUGAAAAGUACCUAUAUUGACUCAAAUGUACUAGAAGAAGGAGAUGUUAUUUCACAGUUUAGAUGCUUCUGGUUCUUCGGAAGAGUUUAAUUUAAUUGUUUUGUGAAUUCUAUUUCAGAAGGGGAUUAAUCACUAGGAAUGUCAAAGAUGCAGUUGACUUGUUUCACGAACGCUUUGGAGUAAGUUUUUUUUUUCCUUUUUCAGUUAAAUACAUAAAACAAUUGUUUUGGCAUGAGUUAUAUGUUGACAUUAUAUGCUGAAGUUAAAGAACAAAGUUUAUUGGACUUUCCAGAGGAAAAAAAAAAAGAAGACUGUGCUUGUUCUUCUAUUAGGGAUGAAACAAGAAUCGUCACUGCAUAGGAGAAGAAAGAGGAACAAUUUAUCUUCUUUUAUACCUUUAGUUUCUUUAGUUUGAAGUGAAGGCAAAUAGCGAAACAUAAUGGAUAUUCCAGCUUAAAUUUUUCUUCUUCACUCAUUACCAGUCAGGCAGUCAGAGGAUCAUGAACUGCUAAGGUCGUGAUGACCUAGGAUAUCUGUGCAGAAGGUGUGGUGGAGAAUGUGUAUGAAUUUUUUGGUAAAGGUAACUUUAUAUUCACAUCAAAACUCAUCAUCAAAACCUGAUGAGGUGGAAUUUACAGCCUCCAGGGGGUAAUUUCAAAAGCCAACACUGGGCAAAAACUUUACAAUUGAGCUGUAAAAUCCACUAGAGGAUGUAUGUUCACUGGAGCUAUAAAAACUUUACAAUCUGUAUGUUCUUAUAGUCAAAUAGAGAAGGGAAGCUCAACUAGAGGAUGUCUGGUUUCCCUCACAAUUAUGAUGGCAUGCUCAAUUCAUUUCUUUACAGGAUCCGCCUUGUGGCUGAACAAAGAUUUAAAAGAUUAUCUAAGGCUUUCUCUGUAACAUAACGUGGAAUUUAUGUAGCUGAAACAUGUAACACGGAGAGGGAGAAAAGGUGGACAAUACCCUCUUUCUGCUCUGUUAGCAAAACUAAGGGCACGAUAAGACUAAAUCUGUAAAUGAUAUUUAAAAGAAAAAUAAGUCAUUUUUCAUGAAAAGAAGCAUGCAAACCUAGUAAAUAAGCAGAGAUAUGCGUGAAGUUGCAGUGAUUUCAUUUUCUCAUCAAAAGUGAGAAAAGAACCCUGAAAGUUGAAAUAAGCCAAUGCAAAAUCGUUUUGAAUAGUCAGAAGGAACAGUCACUGUUUACUCCGUGGCUCUUAAAUCCAUUUCUUGCUUGCUUUUUAGUGGUUUUGCAACCGCAAAACUUUCUAGGAUGCUUAUGCAUUUCUUUUGGGAUAACACCUCUUUUCAGCAUUUAGGUAACAGGCACCAGCCAUGUAGUUUCUAAGAUAUAAGAAUAGUUGAUUGAUUCAACUGAGCUUGAUUUGGCUGGUCAAGCUCAACUUCAGUUCUAUGUCUGAGUAGACAAUUACUAUGCCAUGUAAAAUCCUGACAAAUGAUAGGAAGCACUGGGCACCAGUUAACAGUGCCGGUAUGGAUGUUCUCAAAGAAGGGUCCACUCAUGAGUGACAUUGUAGAGGAGUUUACAUUCUAGAUAAGUUGUGCAGACACUGGAUAUUUUGGAAAGAAGACACCAUAGGCAUAAAAACUGCACUGAUUGAAAGGUAAAAGAGAGGAAAUAAUACUGAAACAAUACGGAGCCUGCAAUUCAUAAGCUUUAAUACUUCAAUAAAUUUGCACCCCUUGUUUUAUGUGUGGUAUUUUUACACAUCCUUCUAAUAUUCAGAAGUAGGGACCCUAUUGCUUUGGUCUAAUGGUAUGACUGCAACAUGUGAUGUGUGGGUAUGUACACGUCAGCUUAGAAGUCCUAAUCUUACCCAGACAAAAGAUUGGUAAAUGGAGAAGGGUAGAGAGGUAGGCCCAUUAUCCACCGAGUUUCAAACUGUGUGCCACUGGCCUUCGAGGAUUUCUUGGUUAUUAAAAAAAUCAGAAGAAUGGAAAAAGGACAAGCCUCCCAAUCUUUUCUGUUUUCCAUCUGCGCGGACAUUAUCUGCAGUUAUUGUCUCUCAUUAUUUGGAAAUUUAAGAUGGUGUUUGGAUUGGGAAACAGUUUAGGGAGAAUUAAUCUUUGGGUAGGUUUCCAGAGAACAGUUUUCUGAAGUGAACAUAUCCGAGAGGAGGAAAUCUAAUAUGCAUAGUUGUGUCUGAGUCCAAGAAUGAGUGAACAAACUUCCCUUUCCCAUCCUAUUAUUUAGCAUCUUUCAGAAUGAAAGAAUAAAAGGUCAUUUGCUUUAAUUUUCUGGCCCCUUAGAAACUUGAAUUCUAACUUCUUGAAAAAAUGGAAGCUUGAAAUCUGAGGGAUUCUCCAGGUGUCUAAGGAAGCUUGAUGUUUGAGUGAAGUCUCCAGGUGUUCCACUCAUGGUUAAUCUCCUGAGAAAAGAAAUCUCUCCAUUUCUGCUAUAAUAUAUCUUUCACCUCAGCUCAUGCUAUACGUUUAGUUCCAUGGUCUUUAUUACGUAUACCAUAUAAAGCUCAAGUAUAGAAUCUCUUUUUGAUACAGGUGAAAUUUUCUCCUGCACUGAGCAGAGAAUAUCGUCCAUACAAACCAGAUCCAGCUCCAUUGCUGCACAUUUGUUCAACUUGGGAAGUUCAAUCUAAUGAAGUAAUGAUGAUUGGUGACAGCCUUAAAGAUGAUGUGAGUUUCCUCUCAAGCUGACUGCUCUUCUUCUCUUUCACGUCCACUCUUUGCAAUAGGUGACUCAAUGCAUCUCCAUGAAAGAUGUGUUAUUUUCCUUCACUUAGCUUGACUAAGUUCUUAACUAAUUCAUAUAGGUACUAAUUGUGCUUGGCAUAUGAUACUCGAAGCAAUUUUCCUGCUUGAUCUAACUUUUGUCUGAUCGUUAGCAGUUCUUAGCAUACGAGCUUUGGCUCCCACCUCUAAGUAGUUACUUUUAUGCUUUCUUUAGCCUUGUGAAAUUUUUUUCUUGUUCAUGCUCGUCAGUCGUCAUGCCAUUUAGAAAAGUCAUGGUAAAAUACUUAAAUAUGUGUUGUGACGUGUAAUGAAUAUUUGGGGGUUUGAUAUACAGGUUGCUUGUGGCAAACAAGCUGGAGCUUUUACUUGCUUGCUCGACGAAACAGGAAGGUAUGAUGCUCCAGAAUAUGCAAACGUCCAACACAAACCAGACUAUAAGGUGUCUUCUCUUGUUGAGGUUCAGUCACUUCUAGAAAGAGAUUUUGAGCUGACAUCUUGAUUUUUGCAAAUCUUUGGAACCCCCCUGGCCUGGCUGAGCAACGAGAUAUGGUUUACCCUCGUAAGCCCUCCAUGUAGCAUUCCUGCAUGCACGUUUCUUUUGGUUUCUGUAAGAUUACAGUAAUUAGAUUGCAGCUUUGCUCAUGUGAGCGGGAAUCUUUGAGAUGGUCUCAAGUCAUUCAUUUUUCAAGCCAAAAAUGGGGAAUAUGAGUUUUUGUUCACUCUUGGUGGUGAAACUGGUGAUUUACAGAGACUUUUAUCGAUUAGCCUGGUUCGUUGUGGGUGACAUAGUCACGAGACCAUAAAUGUGUUUUCGAAUGUAGUGUUCUUGUCAUCUCUUUGCUCGUAAUGGAAGCUCUAGCCACAGGUCUUGCACGCGAAUAGUAGCUAAGAUUUCUUAGGAAUAAUGGUACUUGUUAAUGCAAAGAUUUUCAGAAAUGAGACCAAGUUGGUCUGAGAGUUUUUUUCCAUCUUUUUUGGAAUCCCCGGACAACUCACAACCUCUGUCACAUCCUCUGCCGUGUGGAUUAAUCAUAAGUAACAAAUGUAACUUUUUUAUUUUUCAUUUUUUGAAUUCCUAUUCUAUUCCAUCAGUUAACAAUGUAGAUCAAAUUGCAUCGUUCAUAUGUACGUACAUUGGUGAAUGAACUUUAGCAAGUGUUCUUAAAUGCUCCUCUUUUUCUCAAUGAAGAAGUCAUGAGAAAUACUAGUAAGGAAAGCAUUGCAUAGCUAAGUAAUACGAUAGUUGAAGUACAAGAAAUUACAAAUAAUAACAAAAAUUGAAUAAUACUAAUACUAUUGGUUACCAUCAAGCUUAUUCAACUAGAAAAUGAGAUGACGCUUAAUUCAUGACAUUCAUAUCUCCUUAUCUAAAGUCAUAUCCUCGACAAAUAUGAUAUAUAUAAUUCAUCAAUUUUUUGAAGAUUCAUUGCAAGCAAUUAAUCGAUCGCUAAAUGUGCUUAAUCAAAUAUUACAAAUAUCAAAAAUUAAGAUAUUAUAUUUAUAUCAAUAUUUGAGGGACUAAAUGUGCAAAACCGUUAAAUUCAACCGCUAAGCAGCAAAAUUCUGUUUAUAUAUUGGCGCGCUUAAGCAGUUCCCUCUUCAAGAAAUCAGUUGAAUGAAAGAAUUUACAAGAAACAGAAAAACAGAGCAAAAUAUGACUUUCAGUAUCCACGGUUGCUCCGCCGUAUUCCACCACCCAUCUGCCACCGCCACCGCCAGCGUAGCUGUCUUCUCCGGUGAAAAUUGCAACAUCAUGAACAGUAGUACUGUCUCUCUGAAGAGAAAAUCUCUUUCACAGAUCUCUUCUCCUUCUGAACCCUCCCCGAAAAGGGUCUCUCUCAAUUCACCACCAUCCUCCACCGCCAUUGCCGCCGCUAAGGAUGGUCCAGACCCCAUUUCACCAACUACUUCACCAUCCCCUAAAAGGGUCACUCGUAAUUCACCACCACCCUCUGCCGCCACUGCCAUUGCCGCCGCCGAGGAUGGUCCGGUACCCAUUUCACCAAAAACUUCACCAUCCCCUGCAUUUUCACCCUUCUCCAAAAGGGUAUCUGAAAACUCACCUUUUGCCACCACCAACGCCGCCACUGCUGAUGCCACGGCGACGCCACCACCGCUGCCAUUUUCAAGAUUCACAAAAACGCAGCCGUCCAAUAAUAACAAAACUCUGCGUCGGACACUAUCAGAACCACCAAUUUUCGAUUCUUUUACUGAUUUCUGUCGUUACAUGAAUUCCCAGUCACCGGAAAACAGCAAGAACAAUCCAAUCUCUGUAAAAUCAAUUCUUCGUAGAUCAAUUUCUGAUCCCACUGCUGCGAAAAUUAUUCUUGCUCCGGCACCGGCAACUGCAACUCCGGCAUUGACUUCAGGAACAGGGCAUGAAAAAACUACAAGAAGCAAGGUAAAAUAAAUAGUCUUUUUCUUUUCUUUUUACAGUAAUUUUUGCAUAUUUUAUCGAAUUUUAAAAAUCUUUUUUACUUUCUCAAAUUUUAUAUCGAAUCUAUCACAUAAAUUGUUACGUAAGGUGUACAUGUUAACACUAUCUUAUUACUAUGUUUUAAGAAAUUUGAAGUUUAUGUCUAAAAAAUCUUUAUUCCGAAAUGAAGUUAUUUUCUGAAUUAGAAUAAAUUAUUAGUCAGAUUUCAACGUGAAUAAUAGUAACAAUUUUUUUUAUUUAAUCUUACUUUUCAUUUUUGUUUUUUCAAUUAUAGAAGUGUUAAAAGGGUGGAAGCUGCUGACUAAAUUGGCCUGCAUGAAGAUGGUUCAAGUCCAACAAGAAUUUUUCAUAUUUCAUACAAAAUAAUAUUCAUGAAUAUACUUUACAUGUUAGUUUUAGUGAAAUAUAUAGCUAGUGUUUUUUCCUCUUUUUUCUUUUUCUUUUUUUUUGUGUUCUUUUAAUUUGUUAAUAUCAUCUUAUAUGGAUGAUUUAGGAGCAUUUUGAUCAUGGUGAAUAUUGAUUUGAAAUGGACGGAUUAAAUUGAAUUCGAGCGAAUUGUAAGAAGUUGAGUUAAUAAAAAGAUGGAUUAGUGACUCGUUUAGAAAUUAUUUGGAUUGAAAAUUUAUAAGGGGAAGUACAACCAAAUAAUUCAUGUUGCAUGGAUUGCAUGUGGUGGUACUGUCGUAAUGAAUUUUAAUACUCAAUAUUUUAUAUUACUUCGUUCAUAUUAAUUUUACGUUAUUUCUAAAAAUUUGAAAUUCAUUUUUUUUUAGUAUCGUCUCAAGAGAAAGUACUUCUGAAUGGUUUUCGAUGAAUAUCAAAUUCAAUGCAGUGAGAUGUUUGAAAUCUUUUUACUUCUCUCAAUUAUAUAUACACGUAUAAUGUUUUUAUUAAUAAAAUAUUUCAUUGAUAGAUUAGUGAAAUUAAUUAAUGUUUCAUAAUCACAAUUAAGAACAUACCGCAUAUAUUAAGUUAGUAGUCACAUCACAUGUCACAUGUCAAAAGUCUUCUUCGUUGAUUACGAUUUACAUAUUACUAGUGCUAAUUUGUUUUUCAUCCCCCCUCCCCCCACUCCCACCCACNNNNNNNNNNNNNNNNNNNNNNNNNNNNNNNNNNNNNNNNNNNNNNNNNNNNNNNNNNNNNNNNNNNNNNNNNNNNNNNNNNNNNNNNNNNNNNNNNNNNNNNNNNNNNNNNNNNNNNNNNNNNNNNNNNNNNNNNNNNNNNNNNNNNNNNNNNNNNNNNNNNNNNNNNNNNNNNNNNNNNNNNNNNNNNNNNNNNNNNNNNNNNNNNNNNNNNNNNNNNNNNNNNNNNNNNNNNNNNNNNNNNNNNNNNNNNNNNNNNNNNNNNNNNNNNNNNNNNNNNNNNNNNNNNNNNNNNNNNNNNNNNNNNNNNNNNNNNNNNNNNNNNNNNNNNNNNNNNNNNNNNNNNNNNNNNNNNNNNNNNNNNNNNNNNNNNNNNNNNNNNNNNNNNNNNNNNNNNNNNNNNNNNNNNNNNNNNNNNNNNNNNNNNNNNNNNNNNNNNNNNNNNNNNNNNNNNNNNNNNNNNNNNNNNNNNNNNNCACUCCACUUUCCUCCAAAUCCACGAAAUUAGGAAUAUAAAGUUAACGUUUGGUCAUAAAUUUUCAAAAAAAUAAAUAGAUAUUGAGAUUUUGAUAAAAUUUGGAAUGAAGUUUUAGCGUUUUUGGGAAACAUAUAUAUUUCACUUUUUUAAAAAAAAUAAAAAAAUAAUAUUCGUCAAUUUACAAUUAGUUACGAAGAUUUACUGAUGCAAAUAAAUAAACAAUAACAACAAUAGUAGCUAGUUAGUUUUUAAUUGAAAUUUUUCACGUUUACGAAUAAUGUAUGCACGAUAAACAUACAUUUUCAGACUAUAUAAUCGAGAAAGUGAAGUAACAUUGUUACUCUCAAGAGUUGGGUAGAUAGAAUUAGAGUUUGGGCUAUAUAAACUCAUAAUUAAUGGAUUUUCUUAUUCUUAUAUAAAAUAUAAAAAUUUGAAGUAAUGUUUUUAAAAUUUUAAAAGAACUUAACAAGUUUUGGCCUAAAAAUAAAAUAAAAAUUGGUAGAUUUUGAUAUUCUUGCCAAAUCCUUUUUCCAAAACUUGACAAAUUUUAUGGCCAAAUAAAUUUUGCCAAAUUAUUUUUCAAAAAGUGCUUGCAAUAUCUAUGGUUAAACGAUCUCUUAUCACGUGUCUUCAUAUUUUUUUAUUGACCCCUCAAAAUUAUUGUGAUUCUCUUAUCUUAAUUUAUGUAACACCAUUUAAUAUGAUAAAGAAAAAUAAACACAUUUAAAAUUUAUGAUCUAAAAUAAACUUAUAAUAUUUACAUAGUUAUGAAUUAUUUCCUUAAUAAUAAAAGAAAAUUCUACGAUGGAAACAUUUUGUAUCAAGAGAAUGAAAAAAAUAAUCUCAACGUCUAAUUUACAUGAGAGGUACAUUAUGAAGUUCAUAUUUUGCAAAUAUUUUUUUUUUAAAUAGCUUUUAAAAGAGUAAAUUUAAUAAAAAGAUAAAAAGACAUGCUGGCAUAUUAUAUUUAUAGAAAAUACUUGCCGUUAUGAAUUAAAAUUGUAUACAUUUUAAGAAUUAUAUUCUCCAAAUUAGUUUCACUAUUUUGCAGAAAAAAUUGAAUCAAAUAAGUUUCUCUUUCCUUAUUUCGUGGGAUUUUAUUGGGUAGGUAAUGGCACGAACAUGUUUUUUUUUUUAAUAAUAAUUUUUUAUAUAACUUUUAAAUAUCCUAAAUUAAUAAUUAUUAUGAUCUAUAGUAUUUUUAUGUAGUUUAUGUAAACUUAAUUUCAAGAAUCUUAAAGAUAUUAUGUUCAAAUUAACAAUCAAAAUUGAGUUGUUUGUCUCUUAAAAUUUAAAUUGUGCCACGAGACAUCGAGAAUUAUACACUUUCAAUUAAAUUUUAAUUUAUUUUUACACGAAAUAUGAAGUGCCAUUAUGUAGAUAAAUAAGUUAUAUAAAAUAUUUAACCUUUUUAAUAAUACAUAUUACCAUCAAUUGAUCUAUAAAUUAGUCUUAACAAGACGUAAAAUUUCAUGUAUAUUUCAAUUGAUCAUGGUGUAUAUAAUUGAAAAAAAUUAACAUAUAUACUUUGUAAUAAAUAUAAAAAAUACAAAUAACAAAUUUCAAAUUUUGAAUCGAAAUAUUUAAUAAGAACAAUAAAUCAGGGGUUAAGGUGUUUUAAUUGAAAUAAGGUUUUAAGUGUGUAAAGAUGUGGUGCAGUGGAUAAAGUUGUUCCUCUCUUAAUCAGAAAUUUUGGAUUUGAGUAUGAAUAUUUUUUUGAAAUUAGAGCCCUACACGGUGCGAAUUUGAAAUAGUCGGACUUCAAUGCGGACCGAGCACGAAAGGCGCGUGUAGUGCAAACACCCAAUGUGGUACGUGAAUGGGUCCCUUCAAAUCUCCAUAGAAAAGAACUGCCAAAGCUGCUGUCCUAGGUAUAAGCUGGAACCCUCUUCAAUUUUCUUUAGAACUAUAUAAUAUAAUAUACUAAUAUAAUCCUUCUUCCACACAAAUUAGGAGAAAAAUUAUAAUUAAAUUUCUCUAUAAAAACAAAAAAUAUGUUUUCUAAUCAUAGUUAUUUUCAUCAUCUAGAUUUCUCUCUUCUCUAUGAUUAUCAUAUUCUUCAUCCCUUUCUGAAAUAUUCAGAAAAUCAUCCCAAAUCAAGAACCAAAAACUGGUAUUUUUCUCAUCUUCUUUGAAGUUUUAUUCAAGAAAAAAAAACACCCUUUUGCUUAAAAUCAUGAUUUGUUCAGUAGUUUCUAGUGGCAAUGUUCAAGAUUUCAUAAAAAUCCAAUCUUUAUCAUGUUGUCAGCAGCAAAAUCAUCUUUCUUCCAUGAACAUGACUUGUUCAGUAGUUUCUAGUGAAAACCCUUUACUACUCAAUGUACAAAAAUUCAGAAAGAUUCAAUCUUUAUCAUGUUGUCAGCAGCAAAAUCCUUCCACCAACAACACCAUUGACAAACCAUGGAAGCCCAAAAGUCAUCUGAUAAAGAUAUUAGAAGCCCCUCAAGUUGAAAAAGUUUAUUCUCCUAGUAAGGUCAAGAAAAAAGUGAUUUUUGAGGAGAAGAAUGGGGGUUUAUCUCAGAUGGGGAGUCAAUAUAUGGCAAUUUUGUGUGGGGUUGGGUAUUGGGUACAGGGUUUUAGGUGUUUUCCUUGGUUGGGUCUUAACUUUCAUAUGGCUAAUGGAAUGAAUAUGCAUCCAUCAACAUUGCAACUUGUGCAGUAUUUUGGGAUUUUACCAAUGGUUGCUAAGCCUAUUUUUGGAAUUCUGUCUGAUGCUGUUUAUAUUGGUGGUGCUCAUAGAAUACCUUAUAUUUCUCUUGGAGGUAAUAAUUUUUACUUCCCCUUUUGCAUUUGGUUUUGUUUGAUUUGCCAUAUCUUUGGACUUUGCUGCUAUAUUUGUUUCUUUUUAUCUUCUUCUGGAAUUUCAAGAUUUAGCAAUUUACCAUGUUUUUGUGUGUGGUGUUGGUGUUGUUUUGCUUCUUUUUUUGGGUCCUUUUGGCCACUUUUGUUUUGAUUCUGGUAUCUUUACUACAAAAGCAAAGAUGUUCCUUGAGUGUAAAGGUGGUUGGAAUAAAGUUAGUCAUCUCUUUUGGUUUCCUUUGACAAUAGGAAAAGUUUCUAUAGAUAAGAUACUGAUUUAGUAAAGCAAGUGAUACCCUUCCAAAUGCACUACUUGGAAGUUGAAGGUCACGAGAUUUAAGACAUUUGAAAGCCUCACUUUGUGGAGAGCAGUGACAGAUUCAAAAUAUAAAGUAAACAUAGUAAGAAACCAAGGGGGUUCAAUAGCUACUAUAUAUACAUAAAAUAUAAUUUUGACAGUGUAUAUAUAGUGUAAUUUUUUGAUGAAGGGGUACCGUAGCUCUGCUCCUGGGGGGGAGGACGGGGUACAAUGGAUGUAAUUUAGUGUAGCAAGUCAAAAGUUUAAGUACUAGAACCAUUGAAACAAGUUCUAAGUUUGAAGUGCACCUGUUUUACUUCCGCUGACUCUAAAUGUUACCGGGAUUUAUGAACACAGAUUAUUUAUCGGUAGGUUUGACAGUUCACCUACUGCAAACCAAUAAAGCUAAAGUUUUCGGUACCUGGAUGAAAAUGAUCCAAUAUGCAUUAAAACUUUCUUAGUUGAAUUACUUCUUUAGCAAAUUCUACUUAUCGAUCUUGUUCUUUUCUUAUUGGCUGUGUUUUCCUUUCCUUUUCUUAUUUUUUCUUUUUUUUGUGAAGAAGUUUAGGUGGUCGAGGAACUUGUAGUCCUAACUCUCUAUCUGUAUAUAUAAAGGUAUAUAGUAACGUACAAUGUAGAAUCCCUUUGUAUAAAUAUUGUACAAGCUCCUAAUAAUGUGCUGUUACAGUUCUCCUCCAGGUUUUGGCGUGGGGUCAAUUGGCAUUAACCUCAGCUGCGAGUGAAGCUCUUCCUGCUCUUAUGGCAUGUGUCCUUCUUAGCAACGUUGGAGCGUCCAUCACAGAAGUUGCCAAAGAUGCUCUUGUGGCUGAAUAUGGUCAAAAAAACAGAAUGCCGGGUCUACAGUCUUAUGCAUUUAUGGCUUCAGCUGCUGGCGGAAUUUUAGGUAACUUGAUCGGAGGAUAUUUCCUACUCAAAACACAGCAACCUAAGUUAAUGUUUCUAGCCUUUUCUGCUUUGCUUGCUCUGCAAUUAGUAGUAACUUCAGCUACCAGAGAAGAGUCCCUUGGUUUAGCUCAAUCAUCAAAUUAUUCCGUUGUUAGGGAACCAAUCACGGAAAUAUUUAGAAAACAGUAUUCGGAUCUUAUGGUAGCAGUUACAGAUGAAAGUAUUGCUCGUCCUCUUAGAUGGGUUGUUAUGUCAAUUUUAGCAGUCCCGGUCCUCUCCGGAUCAAUCUUUUGUUAUCAGACACAAUGCCUAAAUCUUGAUCCAUCAGUUAUAGGGAUGUCAAAGGUGAUAGGCCAAUUGCUGCUUCUUUCUUUGACAGUCUUUUAUGACCGGUUCGGCAAAAGGAUUCCAAUGAGAAAACUGAUUGGUAUUGUGCAGAUAACAUAUGCUGCUUCUCUUCUUCUUGACCUUGUACUUGUUAAGCAGCUUAAUCUCAAAUUGGGAAUUUCGAAUGAAUGGUUUGCUCUUUGCUUCUCGGGUCUAGCAGAAACUAUUGCAGUAUUUAAGCUCUUACCAUUCCAUGUGCUGUUUGCAAGUUUGGCUCCAUCAGUGUUUGAAGGAUCUCUCAUGUCUUUCUUGGCAUCAGCUCUGUGUUUUUCAUCAGUAUUUAGUGGUGUUUUAGGUGUUUCCUUGGCUACUUUCCUUGGUUUAACUCCUGGUAACUACUCGAGUCUGCAUAUUGGGAUUCUUAUCCAGUUUGUUGCGGCGUUACUACCACUGGGAUGUCUCAGUUAUGUCCCUAUGGCUCAACCUGCAGCUGAAAAGGGAAUGAAGAGAGGUCAAAGUAAAAGGACGAGAAAAUAUAGAAGGGUAGGGAGAGUCGUUGAUUCGUUCUAUUCUUACAGACGCAAAAGAGAAUCUGAUUUUGAUGAGAAUCCAUUACUGACUAAAUGAUCAGUCUGCUGCUUCAAGAAAUUUGUUCAUGUCCUAGUCUCAAGAGGAAAUGAUGAUGAGAACGGACGACUCAUGACUAGUCUCUGGUACUUAGUAGAACUCAUCUAUUGGUUCUUGUCAAGUUACAAUGAUGCAGUCUGUUUCUCUGAUUAUGUCUGAACUUUCAAGAGACAUAUCUUUUACUCGAGCAGAUUGAAGAAGGACGAUGUAGCCUUAUCCACGUUGUGUAAACUGUUGAGUUGCGGAGAGGCAAGAGAGAUAGUCUUUUCAAGAUCUCCAUAGGUAGUUCUCACUGAUCAGAGACUGGUUUCGAGUAGGAUCCCUCGCGCUCUAUUGCUAUUUGUAGAUGAUGGCAGCCUCUGAGUUUGUGGGAGGUUUGAGAAAAAUGACAAUCAAAGAGCAACUAUACUGAGAAGGACUAUUAUUUUCUGCAAUGGAAGGCUAUCUUUUUAGUUCCAUAGAGAGCUAAAAAAAGUAUAGUAGCAUUUGGUGAAUUCUUUUCAUCUGUUGAUGAGAGUUACUCGAUACGUGUGCUGGCGGAAGAUAGUAUGUCCUCGCUGAAAUAGUUGAGGUGUGCGUAAGUUGGUUCAGACACUACCAUAUAUAAUAAAAGAAAUGGGAGAGGAGAGGGUGUGCUUGUAAAGUUACUAAUUUUAAGUGAAUAAAUUACUUCCUCACUUUCCAUUGUGUACACAUUUUUAAAUAUAUUAUUAUAUGCUAAUCUUUAAUACAUUAAACAAAUAGCAAAAAAGUAAUAUUCAUGUGUUACAUUUGAAAGUAAUCUCAAAAGUUCUAGAGAAGAAGAUGUUCAUUAUUUUUUAAAAAAAUUUUACUAUGAAAAAUGGUGAAAGAUCACUUAUUUAUUAAAAAAAUUCACUUUUAUUUAGAAUGUUAUUUGUACACUUAAUUGAAACUUGAGAAGUUUGAUUUUGCAGGACUAGUACAACAAAUUUUCAAUAUAAACUAAACAUUAACACUUACAUAACUAUGCUACAUUUGAUUUAUGUUGUUGAGCAACGUUAUAAAUUUAUGUGUUAUUCUAUUCAAUUCGGAGAAUAACGUUACAUCAAUCGAUUUGGAGAAUAAUAUAUAAUUUUAUUCACCAUAUAACAAUUACCUCCUAUGAAUAUUCGAUUUUGACAUUAUUAUUUCACUUGUGCUCAUUUUUUUUCUUCUGUUCACAUUCAUAUAACUUUAGAUACAAUGUCUGAAGGAUCGUAUGAUAGAACCUCAAUCAUUUUUGUCUUGCUUGGAUUAUUUUAAAUGACCAUUUUUACUUGAACUUCAUGCGAAAAUGACUGAACACCAACCAUAUUUAACUUUUAAGAAGGGGAUACAAAUUAAAUGACGAUAUCAAAACAGACUCCCCGUCAAGUUUUCACUAUUUUAGGAGUUGUCCCUCAAUGAAAUACUUGGGCCCACAAAAAGCCCACAAUUCAGCCCAAUAAAGUUACAAUACGUAGCUUCCUCUUUCACACUUUUCCAGGUGUUAGAACACUGAAUUUUGUUCUAUAUUUUCUUGAAUAUCUUUCUGAAAUUUGCUAAAUUACUGCUCUCUACUCUCAUUCCUCUGAUUCUCAGUAAGUUUCCAUACCCAUUUUCUUCUUUUUUCACUUGGAAAUUCCUGUUGUUAUGAUUCGUUUUUUUAAAAAAGUGAAUUUUAGUACUGUUUCUUGAUUUUUUUGAUCUUGUUAAUGUUUAAGGGAAAUGUUAAAGAAAAAAUAUUGAAAUUUUAAUGGGUCUGUUUACUUUUAUCUGUCGGAAUUCCCCUUUUACUGUUUACUCUCUUCGUAGAACUUUGAGUUACUUGGUACGUGUUGCUGGUUGUUGGUAGGAGGUGGGGGUAUUUAGUGGAAUUAGUCGGGGUGUGCAAAAGCUGUACGGACACCAGUUAUCAAUUAUCAUAUAAAAAGAAGAAAACUUUGGCUGAAUUUGGUGAUUAUUUUUUAAUAAAAUUAUCUACUUUUGAGUCUUUUGGAAACAGGCCUCUCUACCUCCACGAAUUAGUGGUAAGGUUUGCAUACACUGAACACUCUUAGCUUUCAUAGACCUCACUUGUGGGAUUUCACUCGGUAUAUUGUUGUUGUUAUCUGAGUAGACCUUUUUUUUUGUUUGGUCGCAUUUGUGGGGAGGAGGUACUUUCUUUGGUAUGUUAAGAGUGCAUUUUACUUGUUAUUGCUUUCAGUUUUGGUUGUAGAAGACAAAAAAGUAUUGAGACUGAUAAUUCCAAUGUAAACAAUUUUACCUGUGGACAAUCCAAGGAGUAGGUGGAGAAAGGCUUAGAAUUUUACAAUCACAAAGCAAAACGAAAAUGUUGAAUAAGAAUAUGAGUAGCAAUACAUGUAUAAGAGUAUCUAAAGACAAAAAUGUUCUUACAAUAGGUAAUGCCUACGUUUUUGUUUGUUGCAUGCAUAACAGUUUCCACAUUAUUAUUCAGUGCAUGAAUAAACUCUGCAUUAUUCUCCCUCCAUAACUAAUCCGUGAAUCAAACAACCCCUUGAAGAUGGAUCCAGGAAGUUCAUUGACCUCCAUCGUGGAGGUUACUGUUUCUCAGAUCAUGAGACUGCUCUUUUGCUUUUCAACAUUUUUUUCC
rnacentral:lncRNA from 1 species